rnacentral:rRNA from 1 species
UACGUAGGGACCAAGCGUUGUUCGGAUUUACUGGGCGUAAAGGGCGCGUAGGCGGCAAUUCAAGUCAGCUGUGAAAUCUCUGGGCUUAACCCAGAACGGCCAGCUGAUACUGCUUUGCUAGAGUGCAGAAGGGGCAAUCGGAAUUCUUGGUGUAGCGGUGAAAUGCGUAGAUAUCUGGAGGAACACCGGUGGCGAAGGCGGCAUCCUGGACCAAUAUUGACGCUGAGGAGCGAAAGCCAGGGGAGCAAACGGG